ACUCAAGGCUGAUGGCUAGACCUCUGCUGAAACCACUUCUUUGCUUAGCUGCUUCUCCUGCUUCUUUCCUUUCCUUCCUUAGAGGUUUCUCCCAAGAACACUCCCUCACUAUAAAACCUGGACAGACUGCAUAGGGCAGCUAUUUGAAGAUUCUGAAAAGUAAACAGCAUGCAGAUUGGGAAAGAAGACAUACCUGAAUCCGAAGUACGACCAAACUGGUGGAAAUCCUGCAGUAGCAGCAGAGACAGCAAGCAGCAACAGGGGCCUAUGGGUGCCUAGAACUGAAGAAGGGGAACCGUUAUGUUUUGAUCAGAAGAGCUGUGUCCCAAGAGGAUGUGGUGAACCCCCAUAGCUAUUUUUCUCUCUUCCCUCCUGCUGCUUGAUCCCAGACAUGGGUACAGCUGUGGGAAGUACACAGCACAGCACAAUAGCUAAAGCCCCAUCUUUCUGAGGUCAGAGACUAAAAGGUGGAUGUCCAGUUUUCCAGUACCAUUUGUUAAAUAGACUAUCUUUGCUCCA